UUGGAGGGCAAGUCUGGUGCCAGCAGCCGCGGUAAUUCCAGCUCCAAUAGCGUAUAUUAAAGUUGUUGCAGUUAAAAAGCUCGUAGUUGAAUUUCGAGAUCAGUACGCUGGUCGUGCCUUCGGUAUGCACUGGUGUCACUGGUUUCUCCCUUCUGAAGAACCGUCAUGUCAUUAAGUUGAUGUGGCGGGGAAUCAGGACUGUUACUUUGAAAAAAUUAGAGUGUUUAAAGCAGGCUCGCGCUUGAAUACAUUAGCAUGGAGUAAUGAAAUAGGACGUUUGACCCUAUUUUGUUGGUUUCUAGGAUCGACGUAAUGAUUAAUAGGGAUAGUUGGGGGCAUUAGUAUUCAAUUGUCAGAGGUGAAAUUCUUGGAUUUAUUGAAGACUAACUACUGCGAAAGCAUUUGCCAAGGAUGUUUUCAUUAAUCAAGAACGAAAGUUAGGGGAUCGAAGACGAUCAGAUACCGUCGUAGUCUUAACCAUAAACUAUGCCGACUAGGGAUCGGAUGAUGUUAAUUUUUUAAUGACUCAUUCGGCGCCUUACGGGAAACCAAAGUGUUUGGGUUC
rnacentral:rRNA from 1 species